rnacentral:rRNA from 1 species
UACGUGAGGUGCAAGCGUUUGUCCGGAAUUAUUGGGCGUAAAGGAGCUACGUAGGCGGUCUGUCGCGUCGUGACUGUGAAAACUCGGGGCUUAACCCCGGGCCUGCAGUGGGUACGGGCAGACUAGAGGUGCGGUAGGGGAGACUGGAAUCCUGGUGUAGCGGUGAAAUGCGCAGAUAUCAGGAGACACCGGUGGCGAAGGCGGACUCCCUGGGACCGAAUACUCUGAGGACGGAAAGCAUGGGGAGCAACAGG